AUCCUCCCGACUGCAAAACCAAAAUUCCUCAUGAAUUUAAUGCUGAAUGCCUUCCAGCCCAAACUGAAGACGACGAUGUUGAAGGGUUAUAUAGCACUGGCGAUCCCCUCAUGGACCGGGUCUUUGAUGAACUGGGUGCUCAUUGCAUAGCAGCUCUGGAGGACGAGCAGCCUGAAUGUGGAGGUAGUACCAGUACGCAGUUUCCUAAUAUCUCAGUACCAGAGACCCGUAGUACCCUUAUACCACAGUCUCUUUUCUGCAAGAUCCACUCGCCUAUUCCCAAAGUGAGAAUACCGACUACCGAGAUGAACGAUCUCAACACUGUUCAGGAGGGUACAAGUCUGGUCAGAGAGUGUCUCAAGCAAAGUCUGCCCAGCCACGAAGCAGAAAUAGACUCCCCUGAGUCUGCCACCAGAGAUACUAAUUCCUCCCUCACAGUGACAAUUGAGGAG